UGACUGAAGGUCUGUUGUAGACCCAGUCUUGUGUACGAAGUAAGAGAAUGGCAGAAGACACACUGUCCUGCCCUCUGAGUCCCAGAGGAAGCGGCUCAGAUUUUAGAAGGAAGUUGCUGAGAACAACCCAGCGGCAGUAUUCCUAAAGAGAGAUUUUCCCUGAAGGCAGUGGCACCAGCUCUGUGCCUGAGGAUCACAUUUCUAGCUCCUUCUGGUUUCCCCUGCUCAGGUGG
rnacentral:lncRNA from 1 species